rnacentral:rRNA from 1 species
CAGCAGUAGCCACGGGAAUACGAAGGGUGCAAGCGUUAAUCGGAAUUACUGGGCGUAAAGCGUGCGUAGGCGGUUUGUUAAGUCUGUUGUGAAAUCCCCGGGCUCAACCUGGGAAUGGCAAUGGAUACUGGCAAGCUAGAGUGUGUCAGAGGAUGGUGGAAUUCCCGGUGUAGCGGUGAAAUGCGUAGAGAUCGGGAGGAACAUCAGUGGCGAAGGCGGCCAUCUGGGACAACACUGACGCUGAGGCAUGAAAGCGUGGGGAGCAAACAGGAUUAGAUACCCCGGUAGUCCCUGUCUCUUAUAC